rnacentral:lncRNA from 1 species
AUGUUGGAGGAAAACGAGACACUCAUACACUGUUGGUGGAGCUGUGCCACAGUCCAACAAAGUUGGAGAGCAGUUCGGAGUCUCAUCCGGAGAAUCAUAAACCAUUGUUGGGUCUGUUUCCAGGGGAGAAGAACCCUUAAGUUCCAGGCUAUUCACAGCAGCUCCCCGCUGGGGUCAGGUGGAUAUACAAAAGGGCGGGUAGCCACAGAAAGGAUUUUUGCUCUGGUUCUGUCAAAGGAGUUUCCAAAACUCCUCCCCAAGAACUGGAGUGUGUGCCAGGGCCGAGUCCUCACAAUGGGGAGGAGCCAGGAGAGACCACGCCCCAUUACAGCAAUUCUCCAACUCACUCCUGCAGUUUCAGUAAGGAGGGGAAGUGAAAACCUCGGCGCGAUCUGCUUCACGCCCACUCGACUUCAGCAAAUACUACUCAGGGAGGUAUGGAACACUUCUUUCUCUGGGGAAUUUGAAGGAAUUGUGCCUGUUCACUCUCUUCCUCCCAACUAGGGAAGUCCCUAAUAUUUUAUCCAAUUACAAACCAGAUUGUUUAAUAUUGUUUCCUGUUAACGAGUUGGUCAUCUUUGAUUGUUUUUUAAUGUAUAAGUCUACUCUCCCCCAUUUAGAGUCCAGCCCUAAAUUGAGGAAGAGGCUUGAUCCCAAUGUUAGCCAAAUGGCACUCAUCACUUAAUAAAUCAAACCUGUUUCCUCA